GUGAAAUGAACCCUGGACAAAUGAUUACCCAGGGGAAUACCAAGGUUUGCUCGUGAUUACUGAGGAGAAUACCAAGGUUUGCUCACGAUUACUGAGGAGAAUACCAAGGUUUGCUUGUGAUUACCGAGGAGAAUACCAAGGUUUGCUCUUGAUAUUCAUCAGUGCGUGUCCUGGAGAAGAAUGAGCCGAGGAGCAGCCGAAGGAGGACCGGUUCUGCCCACAGGGUGUUCUGAUGUGAUUGUCUUACGACAUUAUAAUUAUUGUGUACAGGGAGACUUUAACUUCACAACUAUUUAGUCCAUUCUUUCCUCUAGGGGCAGCUACUGACCCAAGAGACAUCUACCCUCUCCUUAGAACAGUUUCAUCUCACCUAUAAAACGACACAAUUUCAUUUCCCAAAGGCCUGUAAUCGAGUCAAAACCUUGAGAGACACAGUUCACUUGGAAAGCGUAGUUGUACCUGUGUUUAUCUACUCUAUCACAGAUCAGCCUAAGCACCUGAGCUCUGCUCCAGACUUCUCUUGCCGGGGAUCAGCUUUCUUUGAUAAGGUCUCCAAGUCCAGAUAAGGGCUCCAUUUCAAAGCUGCCCCGAAUCCC